AGAGAACGGGGAGCUUCCUUUCAAGCAGAUGCACCCCGUUAUGUGCUUCUCCAUCACCCCGUGAUGACUGCUCCGCAUCUUGUGUCAGCCAUGGAUGCUGCUGCUUUAUAUUCUGCGUAUCGAGGGUGGCCAGUCUGUCAAGCCUUCUGUGCAAAGUAACCCAGUCAAAUCACAUCUCCGAAGUCAUAAAUAUAACAGCUUGCACAGGAAAUACUUCAGCAUGCAGAUGGAUAAAGAACCGAGUCAAAAACCAGACACUCUGAUGUCUUGAAGGUGUAGGAGGACAACAGGAGGACAGGAGUGAUGUGACCUCAGUAAAAUUAUACCUGGCUGAUUUGUACAGUGGCUCUCAAAAGUAUAACCACUCCUAUUGAAAUGUCAAGUAGGAUGCAAAAAAUGAGACCAUGAUAUAUAACUUCAAAGCAUUUUCACAUUUAGUGUGAUAUUAACUCAGUAAAACUCAAACAAAUAGAAACUUUCUUGUAACUCAGUUGCACAAGUGUGAACACCCUGAAACUGAAACUUCGAUGAAGAACGUUUUGACCACAUUGAAUUGAUUCAAUUCUCUUUGGUAGGAAUCUAGAAUCUGUCUUAUUACUUUAAGAAUAUCAAAGGAGUAUGUAUGACGCAACUGCACUAACAGGUGGUCACUUUACAACGCUGUUUGGAAAAGUAAUGUGGACAAACUGGGCGUUUGUCCACAGUCUAUGCACUCGACCAUCUGCUCAUCUGCCAGGCCAGGGUGACGUAAAUGUGUUUUCCUCUACACUAGGGACCACCACUUCCCUCCCUGGUCAAAUAACAUCCAGCCCUGAGUUUAUGACCACAAGGACUGAAAGAACCAACAACGCAUGCUACGAUAAAACUAUCAUCCAAAAAGAGCCAAAGCCAAGGACUAGAGAAUAACAACGGCAAGCUUGUCUGAAACCCUUCCAUGCAGCAUUGAUAGGACACACAGGAAGCUCUGCUGAAAGUCCAGAUGAGACGACGUGUUGAAGCCUAUUGUGUUGUUGACAUCUAUGGGUCAUAAAUUGUUUUGUUUUGUCAGAAAUCAGUGUUGCUCUGUCAGGUUAUUUUGUCAGCCUCGUCACAUUAAACAGUUUCUGACAUGAUUGUCUUGUGGUAAAAACAAUAAAUAAUGUUUUUUCUCUCU